rnacentral:rRNA from 1 species
CCUACGGGAGGCAGCAGUGAGGAAUAUUGGUCAAUGGACGAGAGUCUGAACCAGCCACGUAGCGUGAAGGAUGACUGCCCUAUGGGUGUUAAACUUUGUUUAUAUGGGAAUAAAACGUUCCACGUGUGUGUUUAUGUAUCUACCAUAUGAAUACGGAUCGGCUAACUCCGUGCCAGCAGCCGCGGUAAUACGGAGGAUCCGAGCGUUAUCCGGAUUUAUUGGGUUUAAAGGGAGCGUAGGUGGAUUGUUAAGUCAGUUGUGAAAGUUUGCGGCUCAACCGUAAAAUUGCAGUUGAAACUGGCAGUCUUGAGUACAGUAGAGGUGGGCGGAAUUCGUGGUGUAGCGGUGAAAUGCUUAGAUAUAACGAAGAACUCCGAUUGCGAAGGCAGUUCACUGGACUGCAACUGACACUGAGGCUCGAAAGUGUGGGUAUCAAACAGGAUUAGAUACCCUUGUAGUC